UGCCAGCAGCCGCGGUAAUACGAAGGGUGCUAGCGUUGUUCGGAAUUACUGGGCGUAAAGAGCAUGUAGGCGGAUGAAUUAGUCAGAGGUGAAAGCCCCGAGCUCAACUUGGGAACUGCCUUUGAUACUGUUUAUCUAGAGUCCGAGAGAGGUUAGUGGAAUUCCCAGUGUAGAGGUGAAAUUCGUAGAUAUUAGAAGGAACAUCAGAGGCGAAGGCGGCUUUCUGGUCCGAUACUGACGCUGAGACGCGAGAGCGUGGGGAGCAAACAGGAUUAGAUA
rnacentral:rRNA from 1 species